rnacentral:lncRNA from 1 species
CAAGACCAGAUGGGAAAAAGGAGACCUUCCCAGCGGCCCCUUCACAAGAAGACUUCGUCCGGACUCCUACGGGAGCCGGACUUCGCCCUCGACUUUAACUGCAGGAAGACUCCGUCCGGACUCCUACGGGAGCCAGAUCUGGUCUCCGACUCCGGCUAUGGAAAGACUCCGCCCGGACUCCUAAGGGAGCCGGGCUUCGUCCCCGACUUUGACCGCAGGUAAACUUCAUCCAGACUCCUACGGGAGCCGGACUUCGUCCCCGACUUCAGCCGC